GGGCAUAUAGCUCAGUGGUAGAGUGUGUGCUUAGCAUGCACAGGGUCCUGGGUUCAAUCUCCAGUAGCUCCA
rnacentral:tRNA from 1 species